rnacentral:rRNA from 1 species
UACAGAGACUGCAAGCGUUAUUCGGAUUCACUGGGCGUAAAGGGUGCGCAGGCGGUUGGGUGUGUCAGAUGUGAAAUCCCGAGGCUCAACCUCGGAACUGCGUCUGAAACUACUCGACUAGAGUACUGGAGAGGGUAACGGAAUUCACGGUGUAGCAGUGAAAUGCGUAGAUAUCGUGAGGAACACCAGAGGCGAAGGCGGCUCACUGGUCCGGUACUGACGCUGAGGUGCGAAAGCGUGGGGAGCAAACAGG